AAACUUACCUGGCAGGGGAGACACCAUGAUCAUGAAGGUGGUUUUCCCAGGGUGAGGCUCAUCUAUUGCACUUCGGGUGUGCUGAUCCCUGCGAUUUCCCCAAAUGUGGGAAACUCGACUGCAUAAUUAUAUAUAAUUAUAUAUAUAUAAACUAUAU